AUGCGGAUGUCCUUCGUCACCUACUCCAUGGACGGCAACACUGUCUUGCUGCUCACCUCAGACAAGCAAUUCUGCAGAUGGAAAAUUUCAACUCCAGGUUUAAGCAUCUGCCAUCCCUAUGGUGGUCCCAUAGGGGGAACAGAGCUGGGCGAGAGCCUCAGAGAGCUCUGUGUGCAGAUUCUGCAAGGCCACCCCUGCCCUGCGUCUUGGAGCAAGUUGCUCACCUGCUCUGAGCUCCAGGUCCCUCCCCGGUGCAGUGAGCAUAGUAAGCCCCCACCCCAUGGAGUUCCGAGAACUGUGUGGGACCCUGUGUGUGCACCCCUGGUGCUCAUAACCCUGAGGUGCUUGCCCUCCAGCUGGGCUGUGUGAAAAAGAAAAGAGAAGAGCCAAGGGGUUUGCCCCCUUGCACGCACCUUAGUCUUCCUCCUCCCUUCCUUGUUUCCCCUCUGAGUGACUUGCAUUCCCUGAAUGUGUCUCAUGCAGAAGGCUGUCCACAGCCGCCAACUCCCCUCCCUACUGUGUUGUUGCAGCUCUUGUCAGGAAAAGGCAGGGCUGGUGAGGAAAGGCAUUGAGGUGGCCGUGGGGACCCCUGCCCAGGUGCCACUGACCUGGAGUCCUAUAUUCCUGGGCCCAGAGAUGCCAGCAGGGCUGCCUGCAGGCUCUGCCCGCAGGAAAGCCCGGCUGCUCCUCCCCCUGCCUGUGCCACAGGCCUGUGCUCGUGGAGUCCUGGCUGGAGGUGCCCUCAGGCAGAGGUAGUGCAGGCUGCUAAUAGGUGAGAGUUCGGGCAGCCUGGUGAGAAGGGACCUGCUCCUCUCAGCUCCUCCUUUGUAAAAUGGGUGCUAGCCUGAGACCUUCCUCACUCAAGGGGUCUCUGGGUAGCAAGUGCUUGGCUCUUGGCAGCCUCUCCCCUAGAGGAUGAGGUAGCGGCACCUGGCCAUGCCCUGGUGUGAUCAGUGCUGUAGGCCCAGCGGCCCGCAGGGGUCCUGGAGUGUUGGGGUGAUGAGACCCAACACCAGAUUGUGGGAGUGAGGAAGUCCAGCAGAGUCAAAGGAUUGAGAAAAAGACAGUUUGAGAGACAAAGUGGGACCAGGGGGCCAUCUUGAGUGUGGAGGCUGCAAAGGCCCCGGGCUCUGGGAGCCCAUGCUAUUUAUUGGUGCUCAAACAAAGAAACAGAUGGUGAGGAUGUGGGGGUUGAAAGGAAACAGUAUAUCAAGUGAAUGAGAAACGUAUAGCUGCUUGAGAUAAUGAGAGUGCUAGAAGCAAGGAGCUAGCAAGUCUAGGAGACAUGCAAGCCCUGCCUCAGCUUCUCUCCCAACACUCAGCUUUUCUCCCAACACAGGAGCUUUCGGAGUUCACUUCUGGGGCCUGUCGUGAGUCCCAAGGCACUGGGGUAUGCGGAGACUGGCACACAGCUGGGAACUGGUAGAUCCCAAAAACAGGAGCUGUGCUGACACUUCCAUGAUUGGUCCUGGC
rnacentral:lncRNA from 1 species